ACGCACGCUGGCGGCAUGCCUAACACAUGCCAGUCGAACGAGACCUUCGGGUCUAGUGGCGCACGGGUGCGUAACGCGUGGGAACCUGCCCUUAGGUUCGGAAUAACUCCCCGAAAGGGGUGCUAAUACCGGGUAAUGUCUUCGGACCAAAGAUUUAUCGCCUUUGGAUGGGCCCGCGUUGGAUUAGCUAGUUGGUAGGGUAAAAGCCUACCAAGGCGACGAUCCAUAGCUGGUCUGAGAGGAUGAUCAGCCACACUGGGACUGAGACACGGCCCAGACUCCUACGGGAGGCAGCAGUGGGGAAUAUUGGACAAUGGGCGAAAGCCUGAUCCAGCAAUGCCGCGUGAGUGAUGAAGGCCUUAGGGUUGUAAAGCUCUUUUACCCGGGAUGAUAAUGACAGUACCGGGAGAAUAAACUCCGGCUAACUCCGU
rnacentral:rRNA from 1 species